rnacentral:miRNA from 1 species
CCACCUGAAAAUUUGUCUCAACCU